CCGAUAGCGAACAAGUACUGUGAAGGAAAGAUGAAAAGAACUUUGAAAAGAGAGUUAAAAGUCCCUGAAACCGAUGAGUGGUAAGAGUUCGAGACGCGUCAAAAUCCUGAUCAUUCUUCGUUCACUCGGGGUUAUGGUUAGGACGUCUGGUCUCAUUCGGGUCGUCUAUCCUGGGAACGCGAGAGGCUCCGGCAUCUGCGUCCUUGAGGGCAGAUCGGCCAGGAUGUGAAUGGGCUGAGGAUGUAAACUGUUGCGGUCGUUUGGGUGGUAAGUGUCGGAGUCUCCGGACGAUGUCCUUGCCCUUAUUCGGACGUUGCAGGUAAAGUCUCGUAGGCCUAUGUCAGACAUAGCGGUCUUGAACUACCCGUCUUGAAACACGGACCAAGGAGUCUAACACGUGUGCGAGGCUUAGGGUGUCAAACCCACAAGCCACACUGAAAGGGAGAUGUGCCAACCCCUGAGGGUGCAGCACAGCCCGAUCCCGAUUUACUGGAAAAGGAUUUGAGGUAAAGUACACUUGUUGGGACCCGAAAGAUGGUGAACUAUGCCUGGAUAGGACGAAGCCGGGGGAAACUCUGGUGGAGGUCCGUUGCGGUGUUGACGUGCAAAUCGCUCGUCAAAGCUGGGUAUAGGGGCGAAAGACCCAUCGAACCAUCUAGUAGCUGGUUCACUCCGAAGUUUCCCUCAGGAUAGCUAGCACCAUGAAAGGAGUCA
rnacentral:rRNA from 1 species